GGUUAAAUAACACAAGUGCAUAUGGUGGAUGCCUAGACAUGGAGAGCUGAUGAAGGACGUAGCAGCCUGCGAUAAGCCUCGGUGAGGUGGCAAGCGACCUUUGAUCCGGGGAUUUCCGAAUGGGGAAACCCAGUCCCGUGUUGCGGGACUAUCGUACACUGAAUACAUAGGUGUAUGAAGACAACCUAGGGAAGUGAAACAUCUCAGUACCUAGUGGAAAAGAAAAAAAUUCUCCGCCCUUGGCGGAGAGCAUUCCCUUAGUAGUGGCGAACGAAAAGGGAAGAGCCCAAACCUUAUUAGUGUGGCGUUCAAUGAAGUUUGUUUUUUAACUUACGGAUUUGAAUGCUUAAAGGUGUGAGCCGUUGCUGAUAAGGUGUUGCAAGGUGACAAUAUUAAACUCCUCACAGAGUUUAGACAAAGAAACAAGUAUAACUUCCAUAGCAGAAUCCUCUGGAAAGAGGAACCAUAGAGGGUGAUAGUCCCGUAUCGUGAAAUGGGUUAUAUCUUUGUGGUUGUCAUUCUUAAGUACUACAGGACACGUGAAAUCCUGUAGGAACCAUCCACGACUAUGUGGAAAGGCUAAAUACUCCUCCAUGAUCGAUAGUGAACAAGUACCGUGAGGGAAAGGUGAAAAGUAUCCCGUUGAGGGAGAUGAAAUAGUAUCUGAAACCAUAUGCAUACAAGGAGUCGGAGCUGGCCGCACUUCACUGCGUUUCGUGCGGAAAUUCUAAAUCCGAAAUCCUAAAUUCUAAACAAAUUAUAAAUCCUAAAUCCAAAUGGCCAAAUUUUUUUGAAUUUUGGGCAUUUGAAAUUUGAUAUUGUUUAGAAUUUAGAGAUUAGAAUUUUGGAUUUCCAGACGCACAGAGCGUAGCGAUGUGUGGCUGGUAACGGCGUGCCUAUUGAAGAAUGAGCCAACGAGUUAUUAUGCGUUGUGCGUCUAAGUCCGCAAAGGACGAAGGCAUAGUGAAAGCGAGGGUAAAAUGCCCGAAAUUAGUUAAUUAGUUACGAGCUAACUUUUUAGCUUGUGGCUAAUUAACUAUAUUACAGCACGUAAUAGACCCGAAACCGGGUGAGCUAGCCAUGGCCAGGGUGAAACCAGUGUAACAGCUGGUGAAGGCCCGAACCGCUUAGUUGUGCAAAACUAUCGGAUGAGCUGUGGCUAGGGAUGAAAUUUCAAUCGAACCCGGUAAUAGCUGGUUCUCCCCGAAAUAGCUUUAGGGCUAGCCUCUUUGAAUGUCCCUGGGGGUAGAGCACUGAAUGGGAACGG
rnacentral:ncRNA from 1 species